AAGAAAUGAAGAUCAUUAAGUAUUUAAUAUUUAUUUUAAAAUUAUUAUUUUAAAUAAGUUUCAAUAACAUGCAACCGGUAGAGGGUUCUUUUCUCAGCGGAAUCUUUAUGUGGUCAUUAGUGUUCUCGUUUUCAAGCCUCGUGUUUCGUAUCCAAGUAAAAGUGAGUCCUAAAUAAACGACAUGCAUGACCAUAAAUAUACUUCCCAUGUCGACAAAAAAACUCAUGUCAUUUAGUGAAUUGUCCGUGUCUAUCAUAAAAUUAAAAGAUAUAAGAAAGAGAUAGGAUAAAAUGUUUUAUAUACGAUAAUCGUUAUUAUUUUUAUUUCUAACCUCCUUUGUACCCUACUAACCGCGCGUCAUUCUAUUUAAGUCAAGGAAGUGAUGAAUAACAUGCGAGUUUGACAUAAUUUUCUCAAUGAGUGGAUCGAAUGUCAAGAUGUAAAUCUUAUAUCUAAUGCGUAUGUGUAUCUAUUAAUUUUGCUGUCUCAAAAUGUCCGAAAUUCUAAACACGACCGUUAACCUAACGUUUAACUCUAUAAUUAUAGCGCAACUUGACCGAAAAAAUUCUCUUUCUCUUGCCCUCGUCUUUUCUCAUUUUAUGAAUUAAUGUGUACAGGUUUGACAUCCAGCUGUAAUGUCAAGAUCUUCUUAUCUGCUAGGGAUAAUAGUAAGUUUCCUUAAUGAGAGUUAUUAGCAGAUAAUAUGAGGAUUCGAGUGUUUCUUUUAUGAAUACAAUAUCUACGUAAAUAUCUUUAGUCCUUUAACAAAGAAUGAAAUAAUGAUUAAAAUGAGUGUUUUUGUUUAUUCUAUCUUUUUAUUAUUCAAAUUUUUAUUAUUCUAUUCUUUUUUUAAAUUUAUAACAUAUCCUUGAUAAAUCCUUGCAAAAUUGUAAAGCGUUGAAGGACUCGCUCACUGUUUCGCUUCAGUUCAUGAGGAGAAAAAUGAUCGUAUUUAUAUAAAUCAGCAAUUGACAACUUUUAAGCGGUACAGUGUAUCGAAUGUAUUCCAAUGAUAUUGUUUAUUUUUACGCAAUAUAUUUGCAAAAUGGUAAUAGUGGCAUAGCUACAAUGUAAUUAUAAAAAUGUUGCAAUGGCAACCGGUGCAACGAACUCACGAAUGUAAUUUUUUUCAUGUUGAACAAGACAGAAAACUUUCUAAAAAUUAUUUGUACGCAAUAUUUUAUUCUUUAUUCCAGAAAUUCUUGAUGCUAUUAGGAACUCUUAUAAUCUAAAGAAUGAUUGAAAUCACAUAUAAUAAAUGAUAUACGUAUAAUAAUAUUUUUCUUAAAUUAAAAAAUUUUUCAAUGAAACACUCGAUUACGAUAAAAAUGAGUUAAAGAAUCAUGAUGAGCUUUCACGACAUCUGGCCAUGGCGCAAUAAGUAAGCUGCAUGAAAAUAAUAUUAUGUAAAAUCCGAGCAAAAAUUUCAACCACAUAGAAAAACUUUUGUCGAGAACCUCGAGGAUACCUACUUACCUACGCUACCGAGGAAUUGGACACCGACUUGGCCGAUUAGUCACGAUCGAUCGUUCUCAAAUUGUCGCUUCUUUUUUUGAUUCGUAGCAUGAAUUUAUCGGUAUUAUAACAUGGCAAGUACUUAUUUAUAAUUUAUUUACACAUUGUCAAUUCUGAUAUAUCGGAAAUCUGACAUAGUCAAAGUAACUAAAUAUCUUUCUUUCGUAUACCGAUUCAUUCAAGAAUGUUCGAAGAUAGGAUCGUGGAAUCGUAAGAACGUGGAAACGGCGUAAAUCAUUAGCAACAAUAUAACGAUCGAUCAAGAGAGCUGACAUACACGAAAAGAAGCCAGCGGCAAGUUGCAAUAGGGCCAAUUUCUCUUUAUCAAUGAUCGCCCUGUGGUUUUCUCCGUGGUCAUAGAGUAUGUGUACGUAACAUGGAAUACGUUGGUGUUAUAUGUACUAGCCAACGCGUAAACUGUUGCUGCGUGUGCGUACAAGUUCAAGAACAAUGGCAGUUCACGAUCUGUAUAAUGUAUGUAGUAGGUAUACACGAUUUUACCAUGCGACGGUACUGGCUCAUUGUGGUGGCGGUGGCGGCGGUGGCAGCGGGCAGCUCUCGUGCCACUGACCCACAAACAUACUUACCUAUGUUAUACUAUGCUGCUAUAUACAUCGUUCUGCCGUUGUCGCUAUGCUUUAAUGCCCGUACACACCGCGUUUCCGCCUCUCGUAUACACGCUUGUGUACGUCGUCCUUGGAAGAUUUACUUGCGGACCUGAUUGCAAUCCUGAUGCUGGUUCGUGAAUUUUUCAUUCGAGCCUGCACCACCGUGAACCGAAAGUAACUACGCCUCGAGCAACGAGGGCGAUAAUUUUACGGACAAAACUGGAAGAGCAAGGCUGAAAUCCUGCACGGAGAGGCGGAGAGCGGUGCACGAAAAAGAGGUAGUCGAUACGC